CUGCAACCAAUUAAGCCGACCAGUUUCCUCUCGUGGUGGACCCUGGUGUGCAAUGGCUGCAGACAGCAACCUCCUGGGUAGUGUACGCAACCUAUUCCUUGUAUAGGUUGCUCUAAGGGACCUAGGAGACAAAU
ensembl:snoRNA SNORA70 Small nucleolar RNA SNORA70